AUGUGAAUGGCUUCCUGCGCAUUUGUGGAUCGCUUUCUGUGCAUUUGUGAAUCGCUGCACACAUUUGUGGAUCGCUUUCUGUGCAUUUGUGAAUUGCUGCACUCAUUUGUGGAUCGCGUUCUGUGCAUUUGUGGAUUUGAAACAUUUCUAACGUCAAGAUGUGCACAAGAAUCCACAAAUAGGUGGACUCCGCCCACCGUCUACUCCAGCCAAUCAGACAACAAGCACAUUGUGCUGACCAAUCGUGGCACGAUCUCCCUUCAACCAAUCACAGAGUCUUUUCUAGAAACAUUGUGCAAAAGACCCAGACGGAGGAGGACUUUUAUUAUGACAGCGAGUAUCGCUCACUCAAAGCAAUGGCGGAAGAGCGCUAGCUUUGUACAAGUGUCUCGCUGUGUGAGGCAUGAAUCAUGUUGUUGUGGAGACAAUAGCACCAGAUUGUUACGCGGUGUGUUCAUGUGCGUCAUUAAAGGAAACCACAUCUACACAUGCCUAUGAUCUGGCUAAGCUCUCAUAUAUAGCCAGGCACUCAUGCAUCUCCAUUCACAUGCCAUGCAACCAAGCUCAUAAAUACAGCUCUGGCCUAUCUCUCUUAAAGGAGCAUACCCUCAUCCUGUGCAGAGCUUCAUUAAAGGACUACUACCAAUAUUCACCAUUACCUUCAUCAACGACUGCUCUGCUAUCCAAGUUGUGCCUCUCAUUCAGAGUUCUGUGCUGUGUGUGCUACCCUUAUAAAUACUGAAUGCUGGCUCUCUCCUAUCUAAUGUAUGUUCUCUUGUGUGCCUAAUAAACAGCUCAAGUUGGUUCAACGCUCUCUAUUGUGUUCUGACAGACACCCUGGUACACUGCUAUAUUCAUUCGUAACUAGCCCCCUACACUUCAGAGUAGUCUUCGCUACCGUUAUAGUUAUGUAGUGACAUUUGCUUACAGAUAGUUUGUAUCUAACGUGGUACAUUUUAUUAUGACAUGACAAAACAAAUGUGUUUUACCUCGUCUCCUACUACAGAACUGAUCAUUUAAUUACACAUUAUGGUAUCUUUUAAAUGAACAAGAAAUUUCUGUGGUGUCUACAUCUUAAUGUCAAGAAGGUUUAAUAUGUCAAAGCUGUUAGAUAGUCUUACAGUGUUGUUUUUAUUUUCCCUUUAUGCUCUCAACAAGCUUAUGCUCUUACUUAAAAUUCAUAGAAGUAAGAUGGAUUUUUACACAAGUAUGCAAUCAAACAACUGGUGUUACAGACGAUCAACAAAAUGCCCUCUGGAAUGUCCUGAGCGGGGAAUUCUCUGAAGUAAAGGAUGAAUUUGUGUUCAUAUUUCAAGUUCAAGAGGAUAUUGAUUUUUUUUGUCAUACUGUGUUAAUGAACAAGGCCUGAAGGUCAAUGCCAUGUUUCUCAAUCAGCAAUUGCAGUAGACAGGAGUGAAUGAAUGAAAUGUGUAAUGAACUCAUUUAUUUAUGAAUCAAUAAUUUGAAGGAAUAAAUAAAUAAGCUAAUCCUUUGUGUAAGCUUAGAUGCAGACAUUUGUUAGAGUGUGCUGAAAUAAGUAGUACAGAUUUAUAUAGAACACAAUAUCUUAUCUUAAGUAAAUUAAAUAUUAAAUGUAAACAAACACACACACACACACACACACAUCUGUAAUUUCUAAAUGGGGUGUAAAUUUAUUUUUAAGUUAAGCCAAGCCAGAUUUCUUUAUAUAGUGUUUUUAUUACAAAGUUGCAUUGCUUCAAAAACCAGGGAAAUUACUAAAUUAAUAGUAAAUAUAAUGGGUUAUAUAUAGUAUUAUUCCAAACUAUAGAUUAUAAUCUAAUAAAACAGU